AUUGAACGCUGGCGGCAGGCCUAACACAUGCAAGUCGAACGGUAACAGGAAGCAGCUUGCUGCUUUGCUGACGAGUGGCGGACGGGUGAGUAAUGUCUGGGAAACUGCCCGAUGGAGGGGGAUAACUACUGGAAACGGUCGCUAAUACCGCAUAACGUCGCAAGACCAAAGAGGGGGACCUUAGGGCCUCUUGCCAUCGGAUGUGCCCAGAUGGGAUUAGCUAGUAGGUGGGGUAACGGCUCACCUAGGCGACGAUCGCUAGCUGGUCUGAGAGGAUGACCAGCCACACUGGAACUGAGACACGGUCCAGACUCCUACGGGAGGCAGCAGUGGGGAAUAUUGCACAGAGGGCGCAAGCCUGAUGCAGCCAUGCCGCGUGUAUGAAGAAGGCCUUCGGGUUGUAAAGUACUUUCAGCGGGGAGGAAGGGAGUAAAGUUAAUACCUUGGCUCAUUGACGUUACCCGCAGAAGAAGCACCGGCUAACUCCGUG
rnacentral:rRNA from 1 species